UACGUAGGGUGCAAGCGUUGUCCGGAAUUAUUGGGCGUAAAGAGCUCGUAGGCGGUUUGUCGCGUCUGCUGUGAAAACCCAGGGCUUAACCCUGGGCCUGCAGUGGGUACGGGCAAACUAGAGUGCGGUAGGGGAGAUCGGAAUUCCUGGUGUAGCGGUGAAAUGCGCAGAUAUCAGGAGGAACACCGGUGGCGAAGGCGGAUCUCUGGGCCGUAACUGACGCUGAGGAGCGAAAGCAUGGGGAGCGAACAGG
rnacentral:rRNA from 1 species